CCUACGGGAGGCAGCAGUGGGGGAUAUUGCACAAUGGGGGGAACCCUGAUGCAGCGACGCCGCGUGGGUGAAGAAGCGCCUCGGCGCGUAAAGCCCUGUCAGCAGGGAAGAAAAUGACGGUACCUGAAGAAGAAGCCCCGGCUAACUACGUGCCAGCAGCCGCGGUAAUACGCAGGGGGCAAGCGCUAUCCGGAUUUACUGGGUGUAAAGGGGGCGCAGACGGCGGUGCAAGCCAGGAGUGAAAGCCCGGGGGCCAACCCCGGGACUGCUCUUGGAACUGGGUGGCUGGGGUGCAUGAGGGGCAGGGGGAAUUCCUGGUGUAGCGGUGAAAUGCGUAGAUAUCAGGAAGAACACCGGUGGCGAAGGCGGCCUGCUGGGCUGCAACUGACGGUGAGGCCCGAAAGCGUGGGGAGCAAACAGGAUUAGAUACCCCUGUAGUC
rnacentral:rRNA from 1 species